CACACGGAAUAAAUCAGCUUACAUAUCAUUCUAAGAGGAAGGUUUGUGGCCUCAGAGUCACAUGCUAAGCAUGAGAGGACUUGGGGCAGUCAUUACUUGUAUGAGAAUAGAUGCUGUUAUCACAUGAACACUCAUAGCUGAUAUUUGGAUUUCUUUUCUUUUUUGGUGUUUUUCUUCAUAACAAAGGGAUGGGUCAGUUGGAGUAAGAAUAUGAGACAGGAUUUUAUUUCUUUAACACAAAUAUCCUAAAAUUACUUUUGAGUUCUAGGAGGUCCUAAAUCAUUACUUGGAAACUUGUGUCAUUUAUCUGUCUCAUGAAGACAUGGGGAAGCUUGCCCCAAAGCUCCAGAGAUGAAGAAGCACUUCUUCAAUCACUGCUUCUUCCUCACACAAUGGCUGGGGUGCUGUUGAUGAAGGUGAUAUUUGUCUUUUUAUUGGGCAGAUAGUGGCCACUAUCCACUGGAGAGGUAGUAUUAUCAUUCUUAAAUACAACCAUGCAUAUGUCAUAAUAGACCUAAGACUCACAGAAAUGUUGCUUUAAUCCAUGAUAAUUCUCCUUGAAUACCAUUUCUUCUACAUCAUGAUGCACUCCUUUGUGAAUUGCCUCCUGCCAUUUUGACCAACAGCAGACAAUUACUCUCAAAUGCUAGUCUUUUAUUUUGUACUUCAGUGCUAUAAUUUAGAAUUAUUCAUUAAUUCAACAAACAUUUCUGUGCUAGAUACUGGUUGCUCAAAAUAAAAGACAUAAUCUUGCUGGCAAGGAACUUAGCUUUAUGGGCAAAGUGGGAGAAUAGACAAUUACAGUAAAGUGUUUUCAAAGAGAUAUGGCCAGGAUGCUCUUCUCUGAAGAUGAGAGGAAAAGGGAUGUGAGGGAAGGCUUUCAUGAGGGAGUGAUGUAUGAACUAAGUUACAAAAGAUGAGGGGGAAUCAUGUAAAAUGGAGGGCUAGAUGGUUCACUGCAGAAGGAGCUGCUGUGCAAAUGCACAGAGAGUCAAAGGGCAGGUGUGCUAUUAAGGAAACAGAAUGGAUCAGAUUGAAUGUGAAGGCAUAGGGGAAAGAAGCUGGAGUCUAGGAUGACCUUAUUUCAGACAGGCUAUGGAGCCAUCCACUAAAAUAGGGAAUUCAGGAUCUAGAAGAGAUGUGUUUGGCUGAGGAUGAUAAAUUCAUUUUGAACAUAGAUAUUGAAAGUCUUCUAGGUUUGCUAGAUUAAGUCUUUGUCCUAUCUAUCUUUUCUUUUCUGUAUAAUAUCUAUGUUGAUAACAAUGAUCCCUUCCUUUACCAGGAUAACUGAAAACUGAAAAAUUUGGUAUUGAUCAGUUGUUUAUAAAAGUACAGUUUUAACUUUAGCUAAUGCCUUGCUCUAGAUUCCUUUUUAAAAGUGUCCUUGAUUAACUCUCUGCACCAUUCCUCAAACAGCUAGCUCUAGAUAUUUACUCUUCCUCUUAAACUUCCCCUUAGUCCCUCUGCUCUCCCUGUCCUUGCUGGUGAGUUGCCUCCUACUGCUCUGUGAUGGGGUUCUCCUUGACUCACACAGCUUCUCACUCCUACCUGUAAACCUAAUUCUGUCUGUGCUCACUUCAUUUCCUCUUCUAGACGGAGGUAAGUUUCUUCUCUAUAAGGCUUUUGCCUUUGAUUGUGUCCCCACUAUGGAGCAAAACACCACUAGGACACUGAAUUUGCCCUGAGGAAAUUCACGUCCCAGUUGCAAGGUCCAGUAGUUCAGUCCUUACCUUGCUUGCUUGCUUUGAGUACCUGUUGAUGGUCCUGGGUAGAGUGGAUUGACCCCUGACACUGGGGGCAGGCUGACUAAGAAUUCCGCCCUCUAAGCCUUGACCAUUAUUCAGCUGUCCAGGGCCAGUGGCCAGUCAGGGCCUGAGGAUGGAAGUUUUAAUACUGCCAGCAUCAGUGUCUUUCCUUAUAGGCCAGGUUGUCCUCUGGCAGGUCUGGCUUGUCUAUUCCUUACCAGCUGGUCACCAUUCAUCAUGAGGUGGGCUAUGGUGGUUAGCUACUAGGAGCAUCGAGCUGGAUUGGCCUGGGUUGCUGGCCCAAUCCUUGCCUUCCAAGUUCUUUCUAGAUCAGGCAUCAGGAUGGGGCCAGCAGCUGGUCCCUGGUUGUUUUUUUCCCUUAAAAUUUGUUCCUUUCUUGGUUUUCAGAUACCAUUUUUUUCCUAAGUUUUUCCACUUCUCAGAACACUUCUUCUUUAUUUCCUUUGUUGUUCUGGUUUUCUUUUCCACAUUGUUAA
rnacentral:lncRNA from 1 species